GACAGAGGUGGCAAGCGUUGCUCGGAGUUACUGGGCUUAAAGGGCGCGUAGGCGGUCGUGCACGUCGGUGGUGAAAUCCCCGGGCUCAACCCGGGAACUGCCGUCGAUACGGCGCGACUCGAGUGUGGGAGGGGAGAGUGGAACUCCUGGUGGAGCGGUGAAAUGCGUAGAUAUCAGGAGGAACGCCGGUGGCGAAAGCGACUCUCUGGACCACAACUGACGCUGAGGCGCGAAAGCCAGGGGAGCAAAC
rnacentral:rRNA from 1 species